rnacentral:rRNA from 16 species
NNNNGUAGCAUGGUGUUCAUGGAAGUCGAAAUCCGCUAAGGAGUCUGUAACUACUCACCUGGCGAAUCAACUAGCCCAGAAAAUGGAUGGCGCUGAA